AAUGAACGCUGGCGGCAGGCCUAACACAUGCAAGUCGAACGGAGUUAUAUUGUAGCUUGCUAUGGUAUAACUUANUGGCAGACGGGUGAGUAAUGUAUAGGAAUCUACCUAGUAGUACGGAAUAAUUGUUGGAAACGGCAACUAAUACCGUAUACGCCCUACGGGGGAAAAAUUUAUUGCUAUUAGAUGAGCCUAUAUUAGAUUAGUUAGUUGGUGAGGUAAAGGCUUACCAAGACAAUGAUCUAUAGCUGAUCUGAGAGGAUGAUCAGCCACACUGGAACUGAGAUACGGUCCAGACUCCUACGGGAGGCAGCAGUGGGGAAUAUUGGACAAUGGGC
rnacentral:rRNA from 2 species